rnacentral:rRNA from 1 species
UGGGGAAUAUUGGACAAUGGGCGAAAGCCUGAUCCAGCAAUGCCGCGUGAGUGAUGAAGGCCCUAGGGUUGUAAAGCUCUUUCGGCGAGGAAGAUGAUGACGGUACCCGCAGAAGAAGCCCCGGCUAACUUCGUGCCAGCAGCCGCGGUAAUACGAAGGGGGCUAGCGUUGCUCGGAAUCACUGGGCGUAAAGCGCACGUAGGCGGCUUUCUAAGUCAGGGGUGAAAUCCCGGGGCUCAACCCCGGAACUGCCUUUGAUACUGGAGAGCUUGAGUUCGGGAGAGGUGAGUGGAACUGCGAGUGUAGAGGUGAAAUUCGUAGAUAUUCGCAAGAACACCAGUGGCGAAGGCGGCUCACUGGCCCGAUACUGACGCUGAGGUGCGAAAGCGUGGGGAGCAA